CAGGCCUAACACAUGCAAGUCGGGCGGUAGCAGGAAGUGCUUGCACUUUGCUGACGAGCGGCGGACGGGUGCGUAACACGUAGGAAUCUGCCUGGUAGUGGGGGAUAGCCCGGAGAAAUCCGGAUUAAUACCGCAUACGCCCUAAGGGGGAAAGGAGGGGACUCUUCGGAGUCUUUCGCUAACAGAUGAGCCUGCGUCGGAUUAGCUGGUUGGUGGGGUAAAGGCCUACCAAGGCGACGAUCCGUAGCUGGUCUGAGAGGAUGAUCAGCCACACUGGGACUGAGACACGGCCCAGACUCCUACGGGAGGCAGCAGUGGGGAAUAUUGCACAAUGGGCGAAAGCCUGAUGCAGCCAUGCCGCGUGUGUGAAGAAGGCCCUAGGGUUGUAAAGCACUUUCAGCGAGGAGGAAAGGUUAAAGGUUAAUACCCUUUGGCUGUGACGUUACUCGCAGAAGAAGCACCGGCUAACUCCGUGCCAGCAGCCGCGGUAAUACGGAGGGUGCGAGCGUUAAUCGGAAUUACUGGGCGUAAAGCGUGCGUAGGCGGCCUUUUAAGUUGGAUGUGAAAGCCCCGGGCUCAACCCGGGAACUGCAUCCAAAACUGGAAGGCUCGAGUGCGGGAGAGGAGUGUGGAAUUUCCUGUGUAGCGG
rnacentral:rRNA from 1 species